rnacentral:piRNA from 1 species
UGCAAUCCCACCAGCAAUGGAGGUGUU